AUGUCUUUGGUGUAGCGGUAACACCCAAUCUACGAGUAGUACUUCUCAUAUAGACACUGGAAAGAAUUUGGAUUGGGUCCGGGGUUCGAGUCCCCAAGGGCGCA